GGUUAUGGCUCGGUGGUAGAGCACUUGCCUAGCAUGUGUGAGGCACUGGGUUCAAUUCUCAGCACCA
rnacentral:tRNA from 1 species